UACGGGGGGCAAGCGUUGUUCGGAAUUACUGGGCGUAAAGGGCUCGUAGGUGGCCAACUAAGUCAGACGUGAAAUCCCUCAGCUUAACUGGGGAACUGCGUCUGAUACUGGAUGGCUUGAGUUUGGGAGAGGGAUGCGGAAUUCCAGGUGUAGCGGUGAAAUGCGUAGAUAUCUGGAGGAACACCGGUGGCGAAGGCGGCAUCCUGGACCAACACUGACACUGAGGAGCGAAAGCCAGGGGAGCAAACGGG
rnacentral:rRNA from 1 species